rnacentral:rRNA from 1 species
UACAGAGGUCUCAAGCGUUGUUCGGAUUCAUUGGGCGUAAAGGGUGCGUAGGCGGCGCGGUAAGUCGGGUGUGAAAUCUCGGAGCUUAACUCCGAAACUGCAUUCGAUACUGCCGUGCUUGAGGACUGGAGAGGAGACUGGAAUUUACGGUGUAGCGGUGAAAUGCGUAGAUAUCGUAAGGAAGACCAGUGGCGAAGGCGGGUCUCUGGACAGUUCCUGACGCUGGAGGCACGAAAGG